UCAGGGCCUCAUAGUCCAGAGCCCUAAGCGCGAACAGCUGCCCAUUGUCUGCAUUGAUGGAGAUAAGCGAGGAGAGGGCCAGUUGUGGGUUGUGGGUGGGCAGCAGCGAGUAGGUGAUGUGGGCAUUGGAGCCUGAGUCUGAGUCUGUGGCACUGAUGGUGCCUAUGUGCAGGGCGGGGCUGUUGUUCUCCUGGACAAACAGGGUGUAGGAGGUUUCAGUGAAGGUGGGGGCAUUGUCGUUGACAUCGGACACCUGCACAGUUAUGGUGUGCUGGGUUGUGAGCCUGGGUGUGCCCAUGUCGGUAAC